CGCCAGACUCCUACGGGAGGCAGCAGUGAGGAAUAUUGGUCAAUGGCCGAGAGGCUGAACCAGCCAAGUCGCGUGAGGGAAGGCGGCCCUACGGGUUGUAAACCUCUUUUGUCGGGGAGCAAAGCGAACCACGUGUGGUUCAUUGAGAGUACCCGAAGAAAAAGCAUCGGCUAACUCCGUGCCAGCAGCCGCGGUAAUACGGAGGAUGCGAGCGUUAUCCGGAUUUAUUGGGUUUAAAGGGUGCGCAGGCGGCCCGGCAAGCCGGGGGUCAAAUCGCGGGGCUCAACCCCGCCCAGCCGUCGGAACUGCCGGGCUAGAGUGGGCGAGAAGUGCGCGGAAUGCGUGGUGUAGCGGUGAAAUGCAUAGAUAUCACGCAGAACUCCGAUUGCGAAGGCAGCGCACCGGCGCCCUACUGACGCUCAGGCACGAAAGCGUGGGUAUCGAACAGGAUUAGAUACCCGUUA
rnacentral:rRNA from 1 species